GAUGAACGCUGGCGGCGUGCCUAAUACAUGCAAGUCGAGCGAACAGACGAGGAGCUUGCUCCUCUGACGUUAGCGGCGGACGGGUGAGUAACACGUGGAUAACCUACCUAUAAGACUGGGAUAACUUCGGGAAACCGGAGCUAAUACCGGAUAAUAUAUUGAACCGCAUGGUUCAAUAGUGAAAGACGGUUUUGCUGUCACUUAUAGAUGGAUCCGCGCCGCAUUAGCUAGUUGGUAAGGUAACGGCUUACCAAGGCAACGAGUCGUAGCCGACCUGAGAGGGUGAUCGGCCACACUGGAACUGAGACACGGUCCAGACUCCUACGGGAGGCAGCAGUAGGGAAUCUUCCGCAAUGGGCGAAAGCCUGACGGAGCAACGCCGCGUGAGUGAUGAAGGUCUUCGGAGCGUAAAACUCUGUUAUUAGGGAAGAACAAAUGUGUAAGUAACUAUGCACGUCUUGACGGUACCUAAUCAGAAAGCCACGGCUAACUACGUG
rnacentral:rRNA from 1 species